rnacentral:rRNA from 1 species
AUGUGGGGUGCCAAGGGGGAGGAGAAGGCCGGCGGCGCCUGCGAGGAAUGGAGCUACCAGCUGGGGAACAAGGAUACACUGAGUUUGAAAGCUCCAAAGAAGUCACCUCUCGCGUUGAGGAUGGUUGUUCUCACCAUGACUAUGAUCUGUGGGGUGUUUAUUUGCUCAAUGUGUAUGAAGCAGCUAGGCAGCGACAGCUGGUCAAGGAUAGUGAAGAUUCAAGUUGCAGAACAGUCCUGCAAUAAGUCUUUAAUUCCUCCUUCUGAGGUUCAGUUUGUGCAUUAUCCACAACCACUAAAUUACAGCAGGAAAGAAUGCACCUGUACCCCUGUCCGCUUCUUUGCAAUUAUCUCAUCGCAGCGGUCUGGAAGUGGCUGGUUCGAAACCCUUCUAAACAGUCACAUAAAUGUUAGCUCUAAUGGAGAAAUCUUCUCGAAGAAAGAAAGGAGGAUUAACAUUUCAUCUAUAAUAAAGACAAUGGACAUGGUGUAUAACUUGGAUUGGAAUAGUAGCGCUUCCAAGAAUGAGUGCACUGCUGCUGCUGGCUUCAAAUGGAUGCUUAAUCAGGGUCUUGUGGCAAAUCAGGCUGCUGUGGUUGAUUACUUCAACCAAAGAGGAGUGUCUGUGAUAUUUCUGUUCAGAAGGAAUCUCCUCCGUCAGAUGGUAUCGCAACUAGCAAACAAUCAUGACAGAUACCUUAAGCAAUUAAAAGGAAAACAUAAGGCCCAUGUGCACACAAAAGAUGAGGCGAAUAUACUUGCAAAAUACAAGCCCAGGCUCAACACAACAACAUUAAUGUGGAGUCUGAAACAGGCAGAUGACUACACUCGCAAAGCUCUUGAAAACCUAAAGAGCGUCCGUCACAUUACAUUGUACUACGAGGAUCUCGUCCAAAACAGAACAAUGCUUGUUGAGGUGCUGGAUUUCCUCAAAGUGCCAGUGAGGAAACUAGUCAGCCGGCAUGUGAAGAUACACACGAAACCACUGUCAGAUCAAAUUGAAAACUGGGAUGAAGUCUACAAUGCCCUGAAUGGCACCAAGUUUGAAAGUUUCUUGAAUGCUGACUACCGAACAUGA